rnacentral:rRNA from 1 species
UACAGAGGAGCCAAGCGUUGUCCGGAUUGACUGGGCGUAAAGCGCACGCAGGCGGCCGCGCGCGUGGGGUGUGAAAUCUGGCCGCUUAACGGCCAGGCGCCAUCCCAUACGGCGCGGCUGGAGCCAUGCAGAGGGCGGUGGAAUUGCCGGUGUAGUGGUGAAAUGCGUAGAUAUCGGGAGGAACACCUGUGGCGAAAGCGGCUCACUGGACCACAACUGACGCUGAGGCGCGAAAGCUAGGGGAGCAAACGGG